rnacentral:rRNA from 1 species
AUGACCCGCUCCUCGUCCUCGAGCACCUCCUCCAGACCUCGAGCUCCGGCGGCGGCGCUCGAUGGCCCGCUCCUUGUCCUUGAGCACCUCCUCCAGACCUCGAGUUCCGGCGGAGGUGGCGUGGGAAAGACGACCAGGGCAUGGGGAGGACGAAGACUUGCUCCAGCAGCUCGUCUUGCUCCUCGAGCUGGUGGGCUGAUGAUGGAGGACCUGCACUCUUGGCUCCACCAGCGCCGCCGCUGCCGCUUCUGCUCCCCGUUCGCCCACAUCGCAGAGAUUGGAGGAGGAAUGGAGUAUUGCAGAGGAAUGGAUGAUGCUUCUUUUGGUGCAGAGUACUCUCACCGGCAGCAUGAUCAAUUGUGUUUGAAAUUAAUGAACAAGUGCAAGGAUCAGAAAAUGGAGCUUCUUCUCACCGGCAGCAUGAUCAAUUGUGUUUGA